rnacentral:lncRNA from 1 species
GGGGGCUGUGGAGAGGCCAGAAGAGGCAGGUGCCCUUGGGAAGCCGUCAGUGGUAGGGGGCAGGCAACGCUGGAGGGAGCUGCCAGGUGCAGGGCAGGGGUGUCCGGCAAAGCUCCCUGGGGUACAACAGGGGAGCUGGGGGCUAGGACUCUCCCUCUGUGGGGAUGACUUCCAGCCAAGUGGCUCUGCCGCCUGGCCCUGGCCCUGGCCCUGUAGGUGGGCUGGGGCGGGUGUUUGGCCAGGAAGUCAGGCUGGGGGUGGGGCUGAGCCUCUGCCCAGGUCCACUGUCCCUGCAGGAGGGCUGUACAGUGGUGAGGUGUUGGUGUGGGACCUGAGCCGUCUUGAGGACCCGCUGCUGUGGCGCACAGGCCUGACGGAUGACACCCACACAGACCCUGUGUCCCAGGUGGUGUGGCUGCCCGAGCCUGGGCACAGCCACCGCUUCCAGGUGCUGAGUGUGGCCACCGACGGGAAGGUGCUACUCUGGCAGGGCAUCGGGGUAGGCCAGCUGCAGCUCACAGAGGGCUUCGCCCUGGUCAUGCAGCAGCUGCCACGGAGCACCAAGCUCAAGAAGCAUCCCCGCGGGGAGACCGAGGUGGGCGCCACGGCAGUGGCCUUCUCCAGCUUUGACCCUAGGCUGUUCAUUCUGGGCACGGAAGGCGGCUUCCCGCUCAAGUGUUCCCUGGCAGCUGGAGAGGCAGCCCUCACGCGGAUGCCCAGCUCCGUGCCCCUGCGGGCCCCAGCACAGUUUACCUUCUCCCCCCACGGCGGUCCCAUCUACUCUGUGAGCUGUUCCCCCUU